UACAGAGGUCCCGGGCGUUGUUCGGAUUCACUGGGCGUAAAGGGUGCGUAGGUGGCUGGGAAAGUUUGAUGUGAAAGCUCAGGGCUUAACCCUGAAAUGGCAUUGAAUACUACUUAGCUGGAGGUUUGGAGGGGGGACUGGAAUUCUUGGUGUAGCAGUGAAAUGCGUAGAUAUCAAGAGGAACACCAGUGGCGAAGGCGAGUCCCUGGACAACACCUGACACUGAGGCACGAAAGCUAGGGGAGCAAACAGG
rnacentral:rRNA from 1 species